rnacentral:rRNA from 1 species
UACGGAGGGUGCAAGCGUUAUCCGGAUUCACUGGGUUUAAAGGGUGCGUAGGUGGGCAGGUAAGUCAGCGGUGAAAUCUCCGGGCUUAACUCGGAAACUGCCAUUGAUACUAUCUGUCUUGAAUACCGUGGAGGUUAGCGGAAUAUGUCAUGUAGCGGUGAAAUGCUUAGAUAUGACAUAGAACACCAAUUGCGAAGGCAGCUGGCUACACGAAUAUUGACACUGAUGCACGAAAGCGUGGGGAUCAAACAGG